UGGCACACCAAAAAAGUUGCUCUACCUGGCAAGGCGUUCGCAUUUUGUGGGUUAUGUUGCUUUCAAGUGGAAUGGUUCAUGGAACAAUGAAUCCAUGAGUUCUUGAGUGUUCAGUGCAUAUAUAGCGAAUUAUGAGACACAAAAAAGAAGAGUUUUAGUGUCUACAAGUUACUGCUUAGUGAAGAAGACAUGCCUGUAAAGUACAUUACCCCGGGACGAGCAAAUGUGGUUAUUGGAACGGCUGCUUUCGUGAUGCUCUUCAACACGUUAUUCAUACUGCAUGCGCCGAACGACUGUGAGGACUAUCACCUAAAUAAAGUGCUAUCGGGUCCCGAAGCCCAGGACAGCCCUUCUCUUCUCAGGUGGGUUCGUUCUCAGUUCAUUCCUCCCUCCCAGCUGCCAUACAACCUGUCCUAUAUCAUGAAUGGUUUCCAUGAAGACGAUGAUGGGAACGAACUGAAAAUCUUCAGUCCAUCUCAGGAGUUCAUCUUGGGAAACCUGGAAGAUAUCUAUGGCGAUAAGAUUGAAUUUCCAGGAACUUUCUUAGAAGCUGGUGCUUAUGACGGGGAAUUUUUGUCAAAUACUCUUUGGUUGGAACGAGAGUUUGGCUGGAGAGGGAUUCUCGUGGAAGCUAACCCACAUUUUUUUAAACAGUUGCUACUCAAACAUAGGAGGAGUUGGGCCAUCAACGUAUGUUUAAAUGUAAAGCCUUACCCAUCAAAGGAGAAGUUUGUCAUGGGCUCUAGUUCACCUGUCAAUAUCAGUCACCUUGCAUCUGCAGGUGAAGAUGAUGAUCUUGUAGAGAAGCACAUUAGCCAAGGCUCGUCUGGUUUGAAGGACUUCAAAAUAAAUGAAACGCAGAUAGAAGGUAUGAUGGAAGUACAGUGUGUACCUAUCUACACAGUUGUUAAAGCUUUGGGCAGAACCCAUAUUGACUUUUUUUCAUUGGAUGUUGAAAGAGCUGAGAUGGGGAUACUUGAUACUAUACCUUGGGACAAAAUGUCAUUCUCAGUAUUGGCUAUUGAGCAUGCAACCACAGAUGAUUUGGUUACAUAUCUAGAUGAGAGAGGAUAUGCUCAUGUUGCAUCUCAAAGUGAGGAUCAUAUAUUUGUGAAUAAAGCUGACAGAAUUCUUAAAGAAAAGCAUGGUGGGUUGUGAAUAAUUCCUAGAAGAGCUAACUCAUAGCUUAUGGAAAAACAUUUCAUAUUUUUCCCAUAAGCUUGAGGAUAAGAUGCCCAUCAAUCACAUACAGGAGCACGUUCCCUCCCAGUCACAUUUUCAAGGCAAGAUCAGGAAAAAAAGUGAAGCAGGUUAAUGAGAACUACAGGAGGCACCAAGAGCCUACAUAUGUUUCAUAGCUAGGGGCUCUCCUGUCAGUUAGAUGAAGUUUGCAGUGUCUGCAGACUUUCAAAGACCACUAAUAAAGGUAGAUGAGUGAUGCAUUUGUUUGAAAAAUGUUUUACAUAUAUUAUAUAAUAAAGACUGGUUUUUCACUGCACUGUCCUUCAAUAAAUACUGUACAUAUGUUUACAAUAAAUUUACUGACUUAAUAAUAAAUGGCCAUCAAU